rnacentral:rRNA from 1 species
GUAGGUGGCAAGCGUUGUCCGGAAUUAUUGGGCGUAAAGCGCGCGCAGGCGGUUCUUUAAGUCUGAUGUGAAAGCCCACGGCUCAACCGUGGAGGGUCAUUGGAAACUGGAGAACUUGAGUACAGAAGAGGAAAGCGGAAUUCCACGUGUAGCGGUGAAAUGCGUAGAGAUGUGGAGGAACACCAGUGGCGAAGGCGGCUUUCUGGUCUGUAACUGACGCUGGGGCGCGAAAGCGUGGGGAGCAAACAGGGAUUAGAUACCCUGGUAGUCCACGCCGUAAACGACGAGUGCUAAGUGUUAGGGGGUUUCCCGCCCCCUUAGUGCUGCAGCUAACGCAUUAAGCACUCCGCCUGGGGAGUACGGCCGCAAGGCUG